UAGGGAAUUUUCGGCAAUGGGGGAAACCCUGACCGAGCAAUGCCGCGUGAAUGAUGAAAUUCUUCGGAAUGUAAAAUUCUGUUGUGAGGGAAGAAAGGUAGUAUCAGGAAAUGGGUAUUACUUGACGGUACCUUACUAGAAAGCCCCGGCUAACUAUGUGCCAGCAGCCGCGGUAAUACAUAGGGGGCGAGCGUUAUCCGGAAUUAUUGGGCGUAAAGCGUGCGUAGGCGGUCGUUUAAGUCUGUCGUGA
rnacentral:rRNA from 1 species